UUGAAAUUAGCGUGGAUUCCUGUGGUCUGUGGAUUCCUUAUACAACAACUUGAAUUUUCUCUUAACAUUAGUCUGUCAUAAUGCAAAUCAAAAUGCCCCAAUUAUCGAGUUAGGGCACAUUUUAAGCUUACUUACAACACCAGAACAUCAUUAGCUGCUGAAGGGAAAUGAAGUAAAAGCACCAAAAAGACUUUAGGCAAAAGGGAUUGCAAGGAAGACUCGGACUGGCUGUUAUGAGAUUCGAAGAAUUCGCCAUCUCGCAAGAUGCUAAAUAUAUGUGAAUGAGGCGAAGAGUCUGGCAGAGGAAUAAACUUUUAUAACAAUGUUAAUCUUUAAGGUAAUUGCAAUGUGCAAAAAUGCCUGCCACAAAUCAGAGCCAAAAGAACUCGACGCGCAGCGGUUCCGGCAUUGGAAUUACAAUCAGAAUCAGAAUGACGUUCAGCAUGGAAAACUUGAGGGCAGCUGAAGCUUAGAACAAAAGACAAGUUGCGGUUUUAUUAGGUGAGCGCUCAACACGCCAGCGGGUGGUGGCAGCCAUAGAAAUUGACAAAAGAUGAGCAGGUGAGGUGAGGCGGCAGUCGUGGGCACAACUUAGGCAGCCAUACAAACAAGAGGAGGGAGCACACGGGGCACAGUGCAGGCAUAAGCGAACCGGAAGCCAGCUGCCAUCAGGCUGCACUGUGCCAGCCAAAGGAAUUGAGGUAAUCCUACGGGCAAAGUCCUCGGCACAGUCGCAACUUGAAUUUGUUUUCCAUGUUGAGCAGCUGAAGCGGAGCCUCAAGUGCCACCAGCUACGGCUACGUCUGCGGCCACGGCUACGGCUAUGGCUAAGAACAACGAACUCAGGACUGCAACCAAACGGAAGCAGACAAUGCCAGACAUUGUUUAUUACACAAAAUAAGUUAUUGUUAAUAAAAAUUUUACCUGUG